UCAUGAGAACAGAAGAAUUUUCAUUAAUAACCAGGAGGGAGGGACCCAGCAUCACAUGACCAAUAGCUAGUGUGACUGAUUUUCUAACAACGGACAAAAUAUCCAGUGAGCAGUUCCCUUUUCAAGAUGGUUUAUGAGAUUAUACCUUCAUUUCAAAUAAUAUCUUCUAAAGUCAAACACAUUUUUAGUGUACCUUGUUAGAGCCGACUCUUUCCAGUUAACAGUCUCUUUGAUUUUGACAUUGAUCAUUUCUAAAUGUUAACUUUAUCCCCCAAACAGAGUUUUACCAUCACUGAACAUAUUUAAAUGAAUGUGCCUAGAGGAGAUUCUAAAAAGAGAAUUCUGGAGAUGUUUUGAAUAUUAUAGCAGAAUAAGGGCACAUGCUCCUAGAUGCAUGGUUCUUAUAGUUCUUUCUCCUUGAAGCAGUGCAUUUUGAGAAUGAAGAACACAUUUGGAGCUGGACUCUUAGUUUAAACCUUUCCAUAGGAAUUUGUUAGUCCUACUGACAAGCAAAUUAUUUAACCUAUCUGGGGUUUAUUACACUUAUCUUUAUGUAUUUUUAAAAGAUUAUUUAUUUAUUUAUUCAUGACACACAGAGAGGGGCGGGGUGGGGGUGGGGGCAGAGACACAGGCAGAGGGAGUAGCAGGCCCCAUGCCGGGAGCCCGAUGUGGGACUUGAUCCCGGGUCUCCAGGAUCAUGCCCUGGGCCCAAGGCAGGUGCUAAACCACUGAGCCACCCAGGCAUCCCCUAUACUUAUCUUUAAAUAAAGAUAGGAUAGAAGUCAACUUAUAAGGUUAUCAUAAGAGAAAAGGAUUUGAUCUAUGUAAAACACUAGAACAGAAUCUUUCAUGAGAUAAAAAAUGAGAAUGUUACCUCUUUUAUGUAUUAUUACUAUGAAAAUUCUUAUUUCCCAGACACCGAAGAUGACUUGCAAAGUGUCACUCCACAGAAGAGGUAAAGGAAUCUAUGACUAGAAGCUAUGUCUUGAGGAUCCAGCCAAAAAGAUUUAUUCUUCGCUACCGCCAAUCUGCCCGCACUUAUAUAUCCAAAAACCUCAAGAAAAUCACACGACAGAGACUCAGAUGAUAAUAAAGUGCAAGGGAUUUAGUGGGUGGAAAAAAAAAAACUGUCUCUUGAAGAAAUAGCUAUGACACUAAACACUGCUUCAGAGAUAUUUGAUCUUUAUUUUCCAUAGAAGCUUAAGAUAAGUGACAGGGCUCUGAACCUGCAGUGGGGCUUUAAAACUGUCAGGAUCUGGUGUUUUUGUAUUGAGCAUCUUUCAACAACUCAAGUGGAAUAAAUUAUUACUUAUCUUGCCCUCUGACUGCCAAUGGUUUGUGAACGUAGAAGGAAGUCCCCAAGUAGAAAUACCCUACUCCAGGUCCUAGAGAACAAACCUAGGGAAAGCAGAUACAUGAGAUCACUAUCACCAGACCUCAUGUUUACAAAAACAAGGAGAGUAAAAACCAUGUGGCUAGCAUUUCAUUUUCCAACCAAAUGUAGACUAGUCAUCAUCGAUAGUUUCUAUAAUUUCAUAAUGAUAGAUUGCAAGUGAUACUGUAGGAACUUAUACACGACAAAAUUCAUCUGACACUGCCCUAUAUACUGCACUGGCCUCAUAUUUUAUUAUUUUGCCAUUGACAAGUGAAAAUGUCAUCUUGAACUUGUAUUUGGAAACAUUCCUCUACAUGCUACUCUUACACGAUCUCAGCAGAAGGGUUAGUUUAGCUUUGUCUGGGUGCUUCAGUCUCCCUAUUUACACAAAGAACACUAUUAUCUACAUACCACAUCCCUGGCUUUUUCUCAUCCUCCUUAAAUGUUUUGUCACACGGUAUCAACCUCUGGUUUUUGCGUUGCUGCCCUGAUGGUGUUCUCCGAGGUCAUGAAUCACUCUUUCCUCCCUUUAGGAACUCCAGUUCUUCUUCUUGACCUCUCCUGUGAACUUUCUCUGGGGUAUAAUCACUGACUCUCUACACCCCUUUACUGCUUCUUCUGGAAGGGCUCUUAUAUUUUCUUUGUUCAUAUUGUAUCCUAAGGCAAAUGACCUCUAAUUUUUUUUCUGUCUAGCACCAGCCUCACACAAGGAUCCUGAACCCACUGGAUAGCUAUUCCUUGGGAAUGUAAUAUCAUUUCAAGCUCAUAUUUAUAACUACUUCAAUCUGCCCCCCAAGAUUACCCCAUUCUGGCCAAUGCGGAAAUUUUUCUAGGUCACUAGAGUUAAAAUUUAAGAGAAACUUAAGUGUCCCAUUUUCCAUUGCAUCCCAAUAUCUGAAUAGGCUAUUAUUUCUCUAAAUUUUCUUUUAAUGCUUUAUGUCUUCUAUCAAUGACCUGAUCUCAUUAUAUUUAAAUUUUUGCUGGUGACUCAUGACUAUCCAUAGCUACCCCUUCUCUGUAUCACCUCCAUGUUACCUCCAUCAACAAAACUGACAUAUUUUAAACAUUUUGAUUUAGUAACUCUCCUCAAUAAGAAAUUAUAGUGCUCCAUCUUUUUUGUUUGUUUUUCAGAUCAAAUAUGAAGUCCUUGUGCUGGUACUUUAUGCCCUACUGGAGUCUUGCACUCAUAUCUCCCAUGGCCUCCAGAGAAGAUCAAUUCUUC
rnacentral:lncRNA from 1 species